rnacentral:rRNA from 1 species
GAGUUUGAUCCUGGCUCAGGAUGAACGCUAGCGAUAGGCUUAACACAUGCAAGUCGAGGGGCAGCAUGAUCUUAGCUUGCUAAGGUUGAUGGCGACCGGCGCACGGGUGCGUAACGCGUAUGCAACUUGCCUUACAGAGGGGGAUAACCCGUUGAAAGACGGGCUAAAACCGCAUACACUUGUAUUAUUGCAUGAUAUUACAAGGAAAUAUUUAUAGCUGUAAGAUAGGCAUGCGUCCCAUUAGCUGGUUGGUGAGGUAACGGCUCACCAAGGCGACGAUGGGUAGGGGAACUGAGAGGUUUAUCCCCCACACUGGUACUGAGACACGGACCAGACUCCUACGGGAGGCAGCAGUGAGGAAUAUUGGUCAAUGGGCGAGAGCCUGAACCAGCCAAGUCGCGUGAAGGAAGACAGUCCUAAGGAUUGUAAACUUCUUUUAUACGGGAAUAACGGGCGAUACGAGUAUUGCAUUGAAUGUACCGUAAGAAUAAGCAUCGGCUAACUCCGUGCCAGCAGCCGCGGUAAUACGGAGGAUGCGAGCGUUAUCCGGAUUUAUUGGGUUUAAAGGGUGCGUAGGUUGUUCGGUAAGUCAGCGGUGAAACCUGAGCGCUCAACGUUCAGCCUGCCGUUGAAAC